rnacentral:rRNA from 1 species
GCCGGAGGGAAACCGAGUCUUAACCGGGCGUUAAGUUGCAGGGUAUAGACCCGAAACCCGGUGAUCUAGCCAUGGGCAGGUUGAAGGUUGGGUAACACUAACUGGAGGACCGAACCGACUAAUGUUGAAAAAUUAGCGGAUGACCUGUGGCUGGGGGUGAAAGGCCAAUCAAACCGGGAGAUAGCUGGUUCUCCCCGAAAGCUAUUUAGGUAGCGCCUCGUGAAUUCAUCUCCGGGGGUAGAGCACUGUUUCGGCUAGGGGGCCAUCCCGGCUUACCAACCCGAUGCAAACUGCGAAUACCGGAGAAUGUUAUCACGGGAGACACACGGCGGGUGCUAACGUCCGUCGUGAAGAGGGAAACAACCCAGACCGCCAGCUAAGGUCCCAAAGUCAUGGUUAAGUGGGAAACGAUGUGGGAAGGCCCAGACAGCCAGGAUGUUGGCUUAGAAGCAGCCAUCAUUUAAAGAAAGCGUAAUAGCUCACUGGUCGAGUCGGCCUGCGCGGAAGAUGUAACGGGGCUAAACCAUGCACCGAAGCUGCGGCAGCGACACUGUGUGUUGUUGGGUA